AUUGAACGCUGGCGGCAUGCCUUACACAUGCAAGUCGAACGGCAGCACGGGGGCAACCCUGGUGGCGAGUGGCGAACGGGUGAGUAAUGCAUCGGAACGUGCCCAGUAGUGGGGGAUAACCCGGCGAAAGCCGGGCUAAUACCGCAUACGACCUACGGGUGAAAGCGGGGGACCGCAAGGCCUCGCGCUAUUGGAGCGGCCGAUGUCUGAUUAGCUAGUUGGCGGGGUAAAGGCCCACCAAGGCGACGAUCAGUAGCUGGUCUGAGAGGACGACCAGCCACACUGGGACUGAGACACGGCCCAGACUCCUACGGGAGGCAGCAGUGGGGAAUUUUGGACAAUGGGCGCAAGCCUGAUCCAGCCAUGCCGCGUGCGGGAAGAAGGCCUUCGGGUUGUAAACCGCUUUUGGCAGGAACGAAACGGUUCUCUCUAAUACAGGGGGCUAAUGACGGUACCGUAAGAAUAUGCACCGGCUAACUACGUGCCAGCCGCCGCAGUAA
rnacentral:rRNA from 1 species